rnacentral:snRNA from 1 species
GGAUAUGAGGAUGAUCUGGUAGUGACAUCUGUCACCUUAUUGAUGGCCAGGGUUGAUUCCACUCAUCUUAUUAGCCUGAAGUAUUCUCCUCCCCCCUCUCCACCCCUGAUGCUUGCUUUCCUCUUGAAACCACUUGCUUCCACAAAUAGAAACACACACUUCUUUGAUUCAGGGUAGAUGAGUGUCAGGCUACUGAUGUGAGAAAGAGAGAGAUGACCUAGGAACCAAACUCGUGGUGGUGAGGCCAUUCAAAUCUUUAUUCAUCCAAAUGCCCCAGAGUCAGGUGGUAGCAU